rnacentral:rRNA from 1 species
GACGAACGCUGGCGGCGUGGAUUAGGCAUGCAAGUCGGACGGUAGGGCUUUAUCGUAAGAUAGAGUUUGAGAGUGGCGAACGGGUGAGUAACACGUAGGAAUCUACCUUGUAGUGGGGGAUAAGCCAGGGAAACUUGGACUAAUACCGCAUACGCCCUAAGGGGGAAAGGCGCAAGUCGCUAUAAGAUGAGCCCGCGUCUGAUUAGGUAGUUGGUGGGGUAAAGGCCUACCAAGCCGACGAUCAGUAGCUGGUCUGAGAGGAUGAUCAGCCACGUCGGGACUGAGACACGGCCCGGACUCCUACGGGAGGCAGCAGUCGGGAAUAUUGGACAAUGGGGGAAACCCUGAUCCAGCAAUACCGCGUGUGUGAAGAAGGCCUGCGGGUUGUAAAGCACUUUCAGUUGGGAAGAUAAUGACGUUACCAACAGAAGAAGCACCGGCUAACUCCGUG